rnacentral:misc_RNA from 1 species
GAUGAAGAACGCAGCGAAAUGCUAUAAGUAAUGUGAAUUGCAGAAUUCAGUGAAUCAUCGAAUCUUUGAACGCACCUUGCGCCCUUUGGCCAUUCCGAAGGGCAUGCCUGUUUGAGUAUCAUGAACACCUCAACUCUUUAUGGUUUUCCAUGAUGAGCUUGGACUCUGGGGGUUUUGCUGGCUCACAGUCGGCUCCUCUAAAAUGAAUCAGCUUACCAGUGUUUGGUGGGUAUCAUGGGUGUGAUAACUAUCUACGCUUGUGGUUUUUCCACCAGGUAACCUUCAGCAGUGGAGGUUCGCUGGAGCUCAUAGAUGUCUCUCCUCAGUGAGGACAGCCCUUUGAAUGUUUGAUCUCAAAUCAGGUAGGACUACCCGCUGAACUUAAGCAUAUCAAUAAGCGGAGGA